CCCCUCCUGGGGCUCCAGACCCUUCCACACAUGGGGUUUUCAUCAUUGGAAGCAGAAAAUAGAAUUUAUCCAUGAUAUUCCUUUUUUCCCCCCUUAACACUUGCAGAACAUCAACCGUGUGGUGUUUGUGGGCAACUUCCUUCGGAUCAACACCAUCUCCAUGAGGCUCCUGGCCUAUGCCCUGGACUACUGGUCAAAGGGACAAUUAAAAGCACUUUUCUUGGAACAUGAGGGUUACUUUGGCUCUGUCGGCGCUCUCCUGGGACUCCUGGACUCAGCCUGACCCCGUGCAGGAUCUCUGUUGGACCUAUGGAUUCAGGGCAUUCCCUGGGUCACUGAGCCCAUGGUUCGGGGGUCACUGAGCCCAUGUUUUGUGUGACAGCCGCCACUGAGCCUGUUCCACUGGGGUGGCCUGUGGGGACGGAGGUCUCUAAGAGCUGAAAUCCAUCUGGGAUUACAGUGCAGGUUUGUUCCAAAGGAUGUGAUUGGAAUACACUGGCUGGAUGUGGGGGUGUUCGGGAAGGUCUGUGGGGCAUUUCAGUCACGUGGAAUUGCCCUUUUUACUCUGUGUUUAAUGAUGUGACAAAGCAGAGCAGGGGCACUCUGCUCCUUCCAUUGGGAUCCCUUGGAGUGCUGAGUGCCCAGGUCAGUUCUGUGUUUGUAAUCAGAGGUUCUCCAUGUGCUGGAAAAUGGUCUGGGAAGGGGGAAGAGCAUCAGCACAGCCCUGGUGUGUGUAACUAACUCCAUAUGGCCCACUGGAUCCACACUGGGACACAGCUGUGCUGGCAGCCAGGCUUUAUCCCUGUCCCACAUGUCCUUAUCUCCGUCCUAGGGACGGCAGGUCCAGCACAGCACGGAUCUGUGCCUCAGGGUCAGUCCCAUUUCAGCCUCCAGCACUCCUGCACAGUCGUCAGCACCCUUGGGGAUGCUGUCAGGGGUGUCAGUCAGCCUCCAGCCUUGAGAUCUAAAUUUGAGGAUGGAAUAAGGAUAUUCAUUGUUUGUCUGGGGUUUUCUCUCUGUUAGCAAACUCCACCAAAGAGAGACUUCCUUCAGUCACACUUGGAUCUCUGUAAUAUUCCAUGUUACAUUUAUUAAUGGCUACACUCCUGUCAUUUUGGGGGAGUUCUCCCCUUGCCAUGCAUGCUGUACUCCCUUUUCCCUCUGCAUGCUGCCACACAGCCUGCGAGCAGGAUACUGCUGUGGAGCCCCUGUGGAAGUUGCACCCUUGGGAUGGGGUUUGGAGUGGAUCCUGCACGCUCAAUAAACGCUCUGUAAAAGCAA